GCUGCGAGGUAGACUGGUGUGCCAGUCUGGUUAUAGGUCGUAAGUAGUCGCACAACUGAUCGUGAGGUUGUACGAGAGGUGGCACCACCAAUCGUCAGGUGCCAAAUCCGGUUGAACGACCAGUCGAGCGACAACCUGCACGAUUGGUGGUGCGUCCAUGCGCGACUUGUGGUACGACUAUGGGAGACCUGUCUGCGACUUUUAAUCGCAGGUUCAAAGUUUUGAACAAAGUCAUCGACCUUGAUACGACUGAUUUUGCGAUCACCCACGACUUUGGCGAUCAGUCGCGUGCUCUUUCUACGAUUUGUGCAAGAUUCCAAAUAAAAUUCGGUCGCAGCUGGGUGGCUGGCUCGGUGUGACUGGGCCUUUACUAAACCAUGCGGGGUUUAUUUACUCUACUUUUUUAUAUUGCCAUUUUGUUUAGAAGAAAAAAACAUACUACUUGAGUAUAGCACAUAUAUAAUUGAGGUAAAUUCCUCAAGCAAAUCGUUCAUUGUUUUCUGUUCAAAGCAUAUACAAGUUUAGUGCAUCUAGAUUACUAUCAAGGACAUCAAUAUAUUCUUUAUUCGAAUUGCUAAAGGCCCUGUCACUCUGUCACGAUUUAUACUACGAUUUCCCACGAAUUACUCAAAGUUAAAAAUCGUCAUUAUUCGCCAAGCCUGUCUUGUGUUUGUUUUUGUUGUUGUUUUUUUUGGUUUGUUUUUUUAUUGGUAUUUUUGUUUUUUGUUUUACAGACGGUGUUAUUUUUUUUUUUAGAAUCAAGUAUGGUACGACUACGAUGUCUGUUCAACAAUAUACAAUGUUUGUGGUGAUUCUUGUACGAAUUGGAGCGAUUGCGUAACGAUCGGGUUGAGAUCUUACUAUGACAGUGAAAGAUGAAAGACGAUUUAAGGAAGCUGUCCCUCUUCCAUACGAUGACAGAGACAUCCCCUAUUUCAUUAUUGGAGAUGAUGCCUUCCCUCUCAGGACAUGGCUCAUGGAACCAUUCUCAAGAGGGAACUUAACCAAUGAAGAGCGUGUAUUCAACUAUAUAUAUAGACUUAGCAGAUUAAGACGAUUUGUAGAAAAUGCUUUGGAAAUACUCGCCAACAUAUGGCAACGUCUUUUACAUGCAAGUUCCAUGCGCCAAGAAACAGAAACUACUUAAUCGAUUGUGUGAGAAUGUUGUUGUCUGCACAAAUUGAUGAAGUUGCGAUUUCCAAACCUCCAAAACUGAAAUCUUGAUCAAGAGGACAAUAAUUACCAUGUGGUCCUGGGAGCCUGGAGAAAUUAUGUUAAUUUUGCAGAUUUGGACAACACUGCUUGAUGCAAUCGAGCAACUAAAGCGGCAAAAACACCGAGGCUGUACUUCAAGCACUCCUACAAUUCCACAAUAUGGGCGGGAACUGUGUUUCUUUUUGUUUUCUCAAACCCCGAAUUACUCCGAUUUUUUAAUUCAUGAGCUAUCAUAUCUCACAAUCGCGAUGUCCAGUGUGACAUAACAUUCUUAAAGUCCACGCUCCUUUCACUAUCCCAUUAGGGUUUCAAACAUGCAUCAACAAGCUCACGACUAGGAUAAUACGCCAGUUUCGAGAUACGAACUCUUCUGUGUAGGAGGUGCAUUUAGUGGAACUUUGAAUGACAAAGUGGGACAGAGUAGACCUACAGUCAGCAAAGAAGACGAUGAAAUGCAUUAAAAGCGCCUUCUCUUUUAAUAUGUAAAUGUGGGAAAUACAAAAUACUGUCGAAAGAAGUGGAAACAUAAAAACAAUGUUAUAUUUGCAAGUAAUAUCUCAAAUAUGGUACUUUUGACUAACGAAAUAACGUGAUAUGAUAAGAAUUCUAUGUAUUUAAUUACUCCCUAAAUACUUAUAACUUACUUAGUUUGUGUAUCAGUCGAAUUCGGGUGAUGUAACAGUGUAUGGGAAACUUACUGAGUACAUUCACUUAUGCAGUGAUGAAAAUUAGUCC